AUUGAACGCUGGCGGCAGGCCUAACACAUGCAAGUCGAGCGGAUGAAGGGAGCUUGCUCCUGGAUUCAGCGGCGGACGGGUGAGUAAUGCCUAGGAAUCUGCCUGUUAGUGGGGGAUAACGUCCGGAAACGGGCGCUAAUACCGCUUACGUCCUGAGGGAGAAAGUGGGGGAUCUUCGGACCUCACGCUCUCAGAUGAGCCUAGGUCGGAUUAGCUAGUUGGUGGGGUAAAGGCCUACCAAGGCGACGAUCCGUAACUGGUCUGAGAGGAUGAUCAGUCACACUGGAACUGAGACACGGUCCAGACUCCUACGGGAGGCAGCAGUGGGGAAUAUUGGACAAUGGGCGAAAGCCUGAUCCAGCCAUGCCGCGUGUGUGAAGAAGGUCUUCGGAUUGUAAAGCACUUUAAGUUGGGAGGAAGGGCAGUAAGUUAAUACCUUGCUGGUUUGACGUUACCAACAGAAUAAGCACCGGCUAACUUCGUG
rnacentral:rRNA from 1 species